UACGUAGGGGGCAAGCGUUGUUCGGAAUUACUGGGCGUAAAGGGCGCGUAGGCGGCACGGCAAGUCAGGAGUGAAAGCCCGGGGCUCAACCCCGGAAUGUCUUUUGAAACUGCCGAGCUAGAGUGCGGAAGAGGCAACUGGAAUUCCCAGUGUAGCGGUGAAAUGCGUAGAUAUUGGGAAGAACACCUGAGGCGAAGGCGGGUUGGCUGGGCCGACACUGACGCUGAGGCGCGAAAGCCAGGGGAGCGAACGGG
rnacentral:rRNA from 1 species